UACGUAGGGGCGAGCGUUGUCCGGAGUUACUGGGCGUAAAGCGCACGCAGGCGGUCUGCUAAGUUUGGAGUGACAGUUGGUGGCUUAACUGCCAAAGUGCUUCGAAACUGACAGACUUGAGGGCUUCAGAGGGACACGGAAUUCCGGGUGGAGUGGUGGAAAUGCGUAGAGAUCCGGAGGAACACCAAAGGCGAAGGCAGUGUCCUGG
rnacentral:rRNA from 1 species